UCUUUCUCUUCAUAGUCCCAUCUGCUUCUUUUCUUCUCUUUUGGGUUGUUUGCUGGAUGACUUGAAUGGUUUUGCAACUGAUCCUGCAUGAACGAGUGCAUAGGAACAUUCUGGAUGAAGUGGUACUGCAGGUUAGGCAGGGAUUUGUAUCUGCAAUGGAUGUAGAUCGAUUUGAAACGACUGUGGAUCUGGCUGCAGUUGGAGAUGAAAAUUUUAAAGGAUAAAAAUCAGUGAAGGGAGAGAGUAAUGGGCUGCUGCUGCUGCUGGCUUGUGUUUACAGAAGGUUGCUGAUCUUCUUUAUCAAGGAGUAUGGUUCUGCUUCUGCAUGAAGAGUCUAAAGACUGAUUGUGAAGGUUGCAGUGUUUGUCUGUGUAAAACUCAAAAUAUAAAUUAAAUUGAAGCUUAGUGGCAACCUUUGGCUUAAAGGUUUUGCUCUGCUUCAAGAACUACAAGUUUGCAUUCAUUUCAUCUGUAUUUCUGUGUUUUGUUUGCCAGCCAUCAUUUCUCUGCUAUUAUCCUUUUUAUAGUUAAAUGCCAUCUGCCACUGCUAUGUUUCGGCAUUGCAUGCUAUGGUUCACCGGUAGAAAGGGUAAGGUACUGUAUGAUCAUUCUCAUUUCAUUUUGCUUUGAAAACUCUAAACCAGCAAAUAAAAGUCAAUUUUAAUGAUCUUGUCCUAAGUACCUCUUGUCUAUUAGGAGUGACUGUUAGUUUUAGUAUUAAUGGUUUUGUUAUUUUGCCUUUCCAGAGUAAUCUCUCUUUUAUGUUUCGAGCAGUUCAAGAAACUUAGAAAUGAAAAGAUUUGGAGAGGUUAGCACUUUCUCUCAACUACAAGUAACAGUGCACUGUUAGAGAUGCUAGUAGUUAUGGGAGUUUUAGCAUGAGAUCUGGAUUUUGCAAAGAACUUGUGAUUCAGUAAACAGGGAAGAAUUGAUGAUGCAAGAGAGAAAGGAGAGAGUUGCUGGAUCAGUGUCCUGGAGAAAGCAAGAGAGAAUGGGAUCUAACACACAGGUGGGAGCAGUGUCUUUGGCUUGGAGCAUGGGCAGUUUAUUCAUAGUGUUAUAACAUAGCUGUGGUUGUUGAUGAGACCUUAAAUAGAUUAAAGCAGUGAUAAUAGGGAGGAAAAUGGACUAGAUUUGAGAUUUUAAAAAAUCUAUAGGAACUGGGGCACAGUGGUAUGCACCUGUAGUCCUAGCUAUUCAGGAGGCUGAGGCCAGAGGACCACUUGAGCCCAGGAGUUUAAGACUGUAGUGUUCUAUGAUCACACCUGGUGCAUAGCCACUGCACUCCAGCCUGGGCAAUAUAGUGAUGCCCUGUCUCUAAAAAAGUUUUUUUUUUUUUUUUAAUCUGUAGGAACUGGUAAUUGCUCAGAAAUGGGAGGUGAGAGAAUUUGGGUACUAAGGGUGAUGCUCUUGGCUUGGCUUACUGUUGGAUGUUGUCAACUCCUUCCUUCCUUCCUUC
rnacentral:lncRNA from 1 species